rnacentral:rRNA from 1 species
GUAGGGAAUAUUGCGCAAUGGACGAAAGUCUGAUGCAGCGACGCCGCGUGAGUGAUGAAGGCCUUAGGGUCGUAAAGCUCUGUUGAAUGGGAAGAAAAAAAUGACGGUACCAUUCGAGGAAGGACCGGCUAACUUCGUGCCAGCAGCCGCGGUAAUACGAGGGGUCCUAGCGUUGUUCGGAAUCAUUGGGCGUAAAGGGUGUGUAGGUGGCCAUGUAAGUCAGGUGUGAAAGCCCCGGGCUCAACCCGGGAAGUGCACUUGAUACUGCGUGGCUUGAGUACCGAAGAGGGUAGUGGAAUUCCAGGUGUAGUGGUGAAAUACGUAGAUAUCUGGAGGAACACCGGUGGCGAAGGCGGCUACCUGGUCGAGUACUGACACUGAGACACGAAAGCAUGGGGAUCAAACAGGAUUAGAUACCCCUGUAGUCC